CUUGGUGAUUAUGGCGAAGGAUGAACCACCCGAUUCCAUUCCGAACUCGGAAGUGAAAGCCUUCAGCGCCGAUGGUACUACGUCUUAAGGCGUGGGAGAGUAGGUCGUUGCCAAGC
rnacentral:rRNA from 1 species